GCGGGGAGUCUAGCGAAGUGCUCCCCACACAGCCACCCUGCCGAAGGGCCUGAGGUUCCAGGUGCGAGGCCUCUCCAUGCGGCCCCUGCGAGCCAGUGAAACUAGACUGAGCACGAAGGAUAAGGAAGAAAAAAGUCCCUCCAAACACAUUUGCUCACUCCCAGCUUGAAAGAUGACGCCACCCUGACACCCACAGUCACUCAUGAGAGAUGCUGAGGAGCCUCCCAAACCAGAAUCAUCUCGGAGGUUUGUCCUCUCUUCUGUAGAUGAACCUGCAUCCGCUCUACCUCCUCAGUUCUCAUCACAGCAUCUUAUCUCCAUCUGCACCUGGGUGUGUGUUGUGUCUGCGUGAGCUCACGACCCCUCAAGGCCAGAACUGUGGGCGUCCCUCUCCUCUU